GGCGCGAUGGCCGAGUGGUUAAGGCGAUAGACUUGAAAAAAUUAAUUAAAAAUUAAUAAUUUCUAGAAAUCUAUUUCCCUCUGGGAGCACAGGUUCGAAUCCUGUUCGCGUCG